rnacentral:rRNA from 1 species
GAAUAUUGGGCAAUGCCCGAAAGGGUGACCCAGCAACGCCGCGUGGAGGAUGAAUGCCGUAAGGUUGUAAACUCCUGUUAGAGGGGAAGAAAAAUCUCGAUCAAAUCGAGAACUGACUGUACCCUCAGAGAAAGCCCCGGCUAACUACGUGCCAGCAGCCGCGGUACUACGUAGGGGGCGAGCGUUGUCCGGAUUUACUGGGUGUAAAGGGCGCGCAGGCGGGUUGACAAGUCAGAGGUGAAAUCCUACAGCUUAACUGUAGAACUGCCUUUGAGACUGUCAAUCUUGAGUACGGAAGAGAGAGAUGGAAUUCCAGGUGUAGUGGUGAAAUACGUAGAUAUCUGGAAGAACACCAGUGGCGAAGGCGGUCUCUUGGUCCAUUACUGACGCUAAGGCGCGAAAGCGUGGGGAGCAAACAGG